UACGUAGGGUGCGAGCGUUGUCCGGAAUUAUUGGGCGUAAAGGGCGCGUAGGCGGCUUUGCAAGUGGCGGGGGAAAGCCCUCGGCUUAACCGAGGAACUGCCUGUCAGACUGUGAGGCUUGAGACCGGGAGAGGUGAGUGGAAUUCCCGGUGUAGCGGUGAAAUGCGUAGAGAUCGGGAAGAACAUCGGUGGCGAAAGCGCUCUGCUGGACUGCAACUGACACUCAGGGACGAAAGCUAGGGGAGCGAAUGGG
rnacentral:rRNA from 1 species